UGAUAAAUUUAUCAAAAUUACUGAUUAGUUCUGAGAAUCUGUUUUAGAAACUCAAGACUAUUUAACAGAUGACAAUCGAGGCAUUUGUCUGAUAUGAAA